rnacentral:tRNA from 1 species
GGCCCGUUCGUCUAGUGGUUAGGACACCAGGUUCUCAUCCUGGAAACGGGGGUUCGAUUCCCCCACGGGCUGCCA